GAAAACUACGUUUUCCCUUUGUCCCUUGGUAUGGACUCACGACCAUCACAUAAACUAGUUACUUUAUUAGUUCACCACUAGAAUGCGCUAUUGGCACGUGCUUCCACUGGAAGUGAGCAUUGGGACUGUUUUGAUUGUUGUAAUGAGUUCGUUUCAACGCUUGAUUGUCAAUAAUCUCAGGAUUAUUAUUAUAUAGACAUUGGAUAAUCAGGCUUCUACUAGUUCAGCUUGUGGAUUUAAUUUGCAUAAUCCAAGCUGUAUUCCAUCUCUACUUGAUAUCCUUGAUGAGAGAUAUCCUUGUUCAGAGCUGGAGGGCUUCUACAGUGAUGAAGAAGUUGAUGUAGACAUCCCACUACAACCUGUUCCAGAAUAGGAGCUGAUGUUCCUCCCAAGGAUGAUGAACGUUUCAGUGGUGAUGAAGAGUUGCAGAAUGGAUUUAGAAAUAUAGCUCCAUUAUUAGAUGCUCUAGAUAGUACAGAGACAGUUACAUCUGUUCCAACAAUCACUGAGGAAGUAGGACAGGCAAUUGACAGUUCAGGACCCUUACCACCUAAAAAUUCAACUGUUAUCACAAAAAAUAAAAUAUACAGUGGAGGAAGAGACCAUUAGUUGGUGAUUCCAAACCUAGCAAUGGAGAUGUGUUCAGUUCAGAUUGUCCAAUUGACUUUUUCAGGAAUUAUAUUCCAAAUGAAUUCAUUUCACAAA
rnacentral:lncRNA from 1 species